AGAGUGAUAUUGGUUCGGCUCGUCGUCUUCUUCUUCAUUUUAUCAAGAAAUGGAUCCUGGCUAGUUAUGGAAGAUCCAGUAGAAGAUGAGCCGUGCCAAUAUCACGCC
rnacentral:sRNA from 1 species